rnacentral:rRNA from 1 species
GACGAACGCUGGCGGCGUGCCUAAUACAUGCAAGUAGAACGCACAGUUUAUACCGUAGCUUGCUACACCAUAGACUGUGAGUUGCGAACGGGUGAGUAACGCGUAGGUAACCUGCCUGGUAGCGGGGGAUAACUAUUGGAAACGAUAGCUAAUACCGCAUAAUAUUAAUUAUUGCAUGAUAAUUAAUUGAAAGGUGCAAUUGCACCACUACCAGAUGGACCUGCGUUGUAUUAGCUAGUAGGUGAGGUAACGGCUCACCUAGGCGACGAUACAUAGCCGACCUGGGAGGGGGAUCGGCCACACUGGGACUGAGACACGGCCCAGACUCCUACGGGAGGCAGCAGUAGGGAAUCUUCGGCAAUGGACGAAAGUCUGACCGAGCAACGCCGCGUGAGUGAAGAAGGGUUUCGGAUCGUAAAGCUCUGUUGUAAGAGAAGAACGGGUGUGAGAGUGGAAAGUUCACACUGUGACGGUAGCUUACCAGAAAGGGACGGCUAACUACGUG